rnacentral:lncRNA from 1 species
AGCCAAGAGUUGAAACCAGAUUCAUUGACUCCAGAGCUUAUCUGUACCUUUAUUUGGAAAACAGGCAGCCAAAUGAAAUAAUUGUCUUUAUUUGGAGUGAUGUAAAAAUUGUGGUAGCAGAAGAGAAUCCCCACCCAGGCAAUUAGAUAAUUUGUAAAUGAUAUGUUAUAUAUAUUGUUGUUUUGUUGUUGUUUGUGGUUAAUAUUGAUUCCAAAGGAGGAAAAAAAGAACUUCUGGAAUCAAGUCUGGUGCCACAAAGAGAGGGUAGCUGUGUUGAUGAAGGUAGGGAACAAAGGGCUCACUACAAGGGAUCUUCACUGCAUCUGUGUACUCUUAAACCAAAGAAGCUAAGAGAAAAAGAAAUAAGCAGUUGUGGAGGGGUUGAAUGGAUUCUGACUAGCUCUCUUCUCACUCCAUAGCUGGUGUGUAAUGGGAGCCCUAUAACUGAAACUAGUAGUCAGAGGUUUUGUUUGCUACCAUUUCAGCUUCCAGGUUCUUGUGUUUCCCCAAAAUAACUAUGAGUAUGUCAGAAGAAUGUUCACUAUGCAAGCUGCACUUAACCUUUAGUACUACCAUCCCAAAUGGCCUAAAUACCCCUGUCACCCAGGGUAGGUUGGAGAAAAGGAAUGGGGUAUCUGGGUGAUAAUGAUAGCCCUCCUAUGCUGUAUUCCCUCUGUAACAGUCAAAUGUUUAAGUCACUGGGCUUUUGAGGACAUGGUAGCUUUCAGACUAUUAAGGAGCAUAUCGCACCAGGAAAUUCUUCAUGGAAACAGGUACCUAGGAGUCACCCCUACAAGAAGAGUGCCUCCUUUCUCACCAAGCCAAAGUAACCCCUUUUAAUGUGGAGGCUUUAAGAUGUUAACCAACACCUAAACACUUAUGGGUGGGAAGGGGGAUGGGAUAUACAGUGAAAUCAGUCUCUUACAUAUUUGGGGAAAGAUUUCUGUAAUCAAUUAUAGUCAAACAAGUCAUUUUGAUAAUUCUUGUCUGUUACCUCUAAUCCUAAAACCUGGUAAACACAUUAUUAUAUUAUUUGAAAAUUUCAAAACAAUCAUUGAAAGAAUUUACUAAGCCUACUUAACAAAGCUGGAGCAUUACAAAGUUCAUCUCAAGUGCGUAUGCCUUCAAUGGGAAUGUUCUCAUCCCAUGAUGGCAAUUGGGUGCUGGUCAAACCUUAUUUACGCAAUUUCAAAUGGAAUUCUCAAGCUCUGCCCCAUGGGAGGAAGAGAAAAAGUAGCAACACCGUUUUAUAGAUGAGGAUAAUGACAUGGGGAAAUGUAAUGACUUGUAAUAGCACACCCUCAAAACAGGUCUGACUCCUUCCUUAGAAUGCUUUCUCUACUGUCCUACUGGCUGAAAGUAUUGCCACUUCAAAACAGAACGAUACAUAAGGAGAGUAUCAUGAUUAUAUGGUGAAAAUUAUCAUUGCAAAUAUGGAAGGCAGUACAACAUACUUAUGAGUAAAACAAGUUCUGUCACAUGUAAUGACAUAUGUUGAUGUCUUACACUUUAAAAAUAGGAUUUGUUUUAAUGCAGUCUACAUGUUACCAGUAUAAAAUGUGAAACUAAAGCAAUUCUAGUUUUUUCCAGUAAAAUCUUGAUCCUACACCAGCUCCCCAGCUACAGUUGAUGAGCCAGAAGUAUGAAAGACAACAGCUGUUCUCCUAGAAGUGUAAGACCAGAAACAUCCAGAAUGUUCUAUAUAAUGAUGUGACCCUUCUACCACAAAAUGGUGGGUUGUGUGUAAUCACUGAGAUUUUAGCUGUGCUGUUGCUCUUUCUAAGCCAGUAUUCCUGACAAUGAGAGAAAAAUUGAAUUUUGAUUUUUAAAACUGUCCGUAGGAACCCAGUCCUAUAAGAUGGGUACAUUUUUUUUCUUUUCAUUGACCAAGCUAUAACAUCCAUGUAGACAGCUUUUCUCAGAAAUGCAAUACUGAAGCAAAGGGCAGGCAUGCUCCAUGUGUCAGAGCCUUUGGUACAUUGAUAUUUGGGCAGUCAGGGGAGCAGUAGUUACAAUGCUGACCUCAAAGGUCCUGGAAGGAGGCCUUGAGAAGCCAAAGACUGAAAUCUGGCAUUAUCUAUUAUAUAAGGACAGUAGGGAAUAUUUAAUAAACAAUUGUGUCAGACCUCUGAGUUCAUUAUAUGUCGACUCAUUUACUCACAGCCAUAGAAAGGAAGUAACUGGUAUUGGAGGUAAUUGUCAGUUUUUAUUCAUAUGUUACCAUCUGACUCAUCUAUUCUGAGAGACCCAUGUGUUCUUACUGAGGUUAAACCUAGAAUACUUUCUAAAGGAAAAUUUAAGUCGUAGUCACAGUGGUGUAUAUGUGUGUGUAUACACACAUGUAUACCUUCAGUAGAGAAAGCAAACAUUGUAGUAGAUUUUGUAAUUGUGUCAGAAUGGGAAGAAAGAUCAUGUCACCAUUUUGAUUUGGUAAAAUCUACAUCUAAAACCUGUUACUACCUUGCUUCUCCAUCUUUAUCCAGAGGCCAUGUUCAUAUUGACUUCACCAAAAAAAAAAAAAAAAAAGUGACGCACACUCCUAUUCAGCAAACAUGCAUGUUCUAUUCAAUAAAUAUUCAGAUGUUUUUUAA